rnacentral:rRNA from 1 species
GACGAACGCUGGCGGCGUGCUUAACACAUGCAAGUCGAACGGAAAGGCCCUGCUUUUGUGGGGUGCUCGAGUGGCGAACGGGUGAGUAACACGUGAGUAACCUGCCCUUGACUUUGGGAUAACUUCAGGAAACUGGGGCUAAUACCGGAUAGGAGCUCCUGCUGCAUGGUGGGGGUUGGAAAGUUUCGGCGGUUGGGGAUGGACUCGCGGCUUAUCAGCUUGUUGGUGGGGUAGUGGCUUACCAAGGCUUUGACGGGUAGCCGGCCUGAGAGGGUGACCGGCCACAUUGGGACUGAGAUACGGCCCAGACUCCUACGGGAGGCAACAGUGGGGAAUAUGCACAAUGGGCGGAAGCCUGAUGCAGCAACGCCGCGUGCGGGAUGACGGCCUUCGGGUUGUAAACCGCUUUCGCCUGUGACGAAGCGUGAGUGACGGUAAUGGGUAAAGAAGCACCGGCUAACUACGUG